GAUGAACGCUAGCGGCAGGCUUAACACAUGCAAGUCGAGGGGUAUUGGUUUUCGGACCAAGAGACCGGCGCACGGGUGCGUAACGCGUAUGCAAUCUACCUUUUGCAGAGGGAUAGCCCAGAGAAAUUUGGAUUAAUACCUCAUAGUAUAGUACUUUGGCAUCAAGGAACUAUUAAAGUCACAACGGCAAAAGAUGAGCAUGCGUCCCAUUAGCUAGUUGGUAAGGUAACGGCUUACCAAGGCUACGAUGGGUAGGGGUCCUGAGAGGGAGAUCCCCCACACUGGUACUGAGACACGGACCAGACUCCUACGGGAGGCAGCAGUGAGGAUAUUGGACAAUGGGCGCAAGCCUGAUCCAGCCAUGCCGCGUGCAGGAUGACGGUCCUAUGGAUUGUAAACUGCUUUUAAUACAGGAAGAAACNCUCCGACGUGUCGGAGCUUGACGGUACUGUAAGAAUAAGGAUCGGCUAACUCCGUGCCAGCAGCCGCGGUAA
rnacentral:rRNA from 1 species